UGAGGAAUAUUGGUCAAUGGACGAGAGUCUGAACCAGCCAAGUAGCGUGAAGGAUGACUGCCCUAUGGGUUGUAAACUUCUUUUGUAUGGGAAUAAAGAUUGCCACGUGUGGCAAGUUGCAUGUACCUUACGAAUAAGCAUCGGCUAAUUCCGUGCCAGCAGCCGCGGUAAUACGGAAGAUGCGAGCGUCAUCCGGAUUUAUUGGGUUUAAAGGGAGCGUAGGCGGGCUGUUAAGUCAGCGGUAAAAUCGUGCGGCUCAACCGUACCAUGCCGUUGAAACUGGCAGUCUUGAGUGCAGUCAAGGCAGAUGGAAUUCGUGGUGUAGCGGUGAAAUGCUUAGAUAUCACGAAGAACUCCGAUAGCGAAGGCAGUCUGCUGGAGUGUAACUGACACUGAGGCUCGAAAGUGUGGGUAUCGAACAGG
rnacentral:rRNA from 2 species